AACGAACGCUGGCGGCAUGCCUAACACAUGCAAGUCGAACGAGACCUUCGGGUCUAGUGGCGCACGGGUGCGUAACGCGUGGGAACCUGCCCUUAGGUUCGGAAUAACUCCCGAAAGGGUGCUAAUACCGGAUAAUGUCUUCGGACCAAAGAUUUAUCGCCUUUUGGAUGGGCCCCGCGUUGGAUUAGCUAGUUGGUGAGGUAAAGGCUCACCAAGGCGACGAUCCAUAGCUGGUCUGAGAGGAUGAUCAGCCGCACUGGGGACUGAGACACGGCCCAGACUCCUACGGGAGGCAGCAGUGGGGAAUAUUGGACAAUGGGCGAAGCCUGAUCCAGCAAUGCCGCGUGAGUGAUGAAGGCCUUAGGGUUGUAAAGCUCUUUUACCAGGGAUGAUAAGUGACAGUACCUGGAGAAUAAGCUCCGGCUAACUCCGUGCCAGCAGCCGCGGUAAUACGGAGGAGCUAGCGUUGUUCGGAAUUACUGGGCGUAAAGCGCACGUAGGCGGCUUUUU
rnacentral:rRNA from 1 species